UGAUCCUUUAAUUUAGUCCCGUGAGGCUGAGAAGGAAUUCGACUUUAAUACAACCAGUCUAAUUCUAAACUUUUACACACGCCUCAUGACUAAUUAUUGGUCAUGGGGCUUUUUUA
rfam:Lactobacillus dextrinicus DSM 20335 NODE_6, whole genome shotgun sequence.